GCCCCUUAUACGCUGGGCUACACACGUGCUACAAUGGGUAGUACAGAGAGUCGCAAAGCCGUGAGGUGGAGCUAAUCUCAGAAAACUAUUCUUAGUUCGGAUUGUACUCUGCAACUCGAGUACAUGAAGUUGGAAUCGCUAGUAAUCGCGAAUCAGCAAUGUCGCGGUGAAUACGUUCUCGGGUCUUGUACACACCGCCCGUCACACCACGAGAGUUGGUUGCACCUGAAGUAGCAGGCCUAACCGUAAGGAGGGAUGCUCCGAGGGUGUGAUUAGCGAUUGGGGUGAAGUCGUAACAAGGUAUCCGUACGGGAACGUGCGGAUGGAUCACCUCCUUUCUAAGGAGAAUAAGUCUUUCUCUAUUCUAUUGGUAAUGUUCUUUACAUUACUUCUGAACAUUGGAAACUAUAUAGUAGAACAAACAAGAAAAAAAAUUAACUCUAACAAUUUCUUAGAGUUAGCUGUCAAAAAAUAGGUUAAAAUAAUUAAGGGCACACAAAGGAUGCCUAGGUAGUAAGAGCCGAUGAAGGACGUGGUAAGCUGCGAUAAGCCUAG
rnacentral:sRNA from 1 species